ACGUCCGCCAUGGGAGAGAGCGGGUCCUCGCAUCCGCCGCCGAAGGAGCAACCGCCCCGGAAACUCUCAGGCCAAAGGACCGUGGCGGGCCG
rnacentral:ncRNA from 2 species